UUGGUCAAUGGCCGAAAGGCUGAACCAGUAACUUGGAAGAAUGAAAGUGUAUUAAAAUAAUACAAUAACGAUUAAUUCGUAUAAAAUUCUAAAUAGAAGAAUGAUAAUGACAAAUUUCUAUUUAUAAGUCUUGACCAAAAUACGUGCCAGCAGUCGCGGUAAUACGUAGAAGACUAGUGUUAGUCAUCUUUAUUAGGUUUAAAGGGUACCUAGACGGUAAAUUAAACUCUAAAAGAGUACUUUUUUACUAGAGUUUUAUGAAAGAAGGAAGAAUUUCUGGAGUAGUGAUAGAAUACUUUGAUACCAGAAGGACAGGUAACGGCGAAGGCAUCCUUCUAUGUAAAAACUGACGUUGAGGGACGAAGGCUUGGGUAGCAAUAAGGAUUAGAUACCCUAGUAGUCCAAGCAGACAAUGAUGAAUGCCAUAGACUAGAUAUAUAUUUAGUUUAUAAAUGAAAGUGUAAGCAUUCCACCUCAAGAGUAAUAUGGCAACAUGUAAACUGAAAUCAUUAGACCGUUUCUGAAACCAGUAGUGAAGUAU
rnacentral:rRNA from 1 species